AACGAACGCUGGCGGCAUGCCUAACACAUGCAAGUCGAACGAGAUCUUCGGGUCUAGUGGCGCACGGGUGCGUAACGCGUGGGAAUCUGCCCUUUGGUUCGGAAUAACAGUUGGAAACGACUGCUAAUACCGGAUGAUGACGAAAGUCCAAAGAUUUAUCGCCAGAGGAUGAGCCCGCGUAGGAUUAGCUAGUUGGUGUGGUAAAGGCGCACCAAGGCGACGAUCCUUAGCUGGUCUGAGAGGAUGAUCAGCCACACUGGGACUGAGACACGGCCCAGACUCCUACGGGAGGCAGCAGUGGGAAUAUUGGACAAUGGGCGAAAGCCUGAUCCAGCAAUGCCGCGUGAGUGAUGAAGGCCUUAGGGUUGUAAAGCUCUUUUACCCGGGAUGAUAAUGACAGUACCGGGAGAAUAAGCUCCGG
rnacentral:rRNA from 1 species